GAUGAACGCUGGCGGCGUGCCUAAUACAUGCAAGUCGAGCGAACAGACGAGGAGCUUGCUCCUCUGACGUUAGCGGCGGACGGGUGAGUAACACGUGGAUAACCUACCUAUAAGACUGGGAUAACUUCGGGAAACCGGAGCUAAUACCGGAUAAUAUCUUGAACCGCAUGGUUCAAUAGUGAAAGACGGUUUUGCUGUCACUUAUAGAUGGAUCCGCGCCGCAUUAGCUAGUUGGUAAGGUAACCGCUUACCAAGGCAACGAUGCGUAGCCGACCUGAGAGGGGGAUCGGCCACACUGGAACGGAGACGCGGUCCAGACUCCUACGAGAGGCAGCAGUAGGCAAUCGUCCGCAAUGGGCGAAAGCUUGACGGAGCGACGCCGCGUGAGUGAUGAAGGUCUUCGGAUCGGAAAACUCUGUUAUUAGUGAAGAACAAAUUUGGAAGUAACUAUGCACGUCUUGACGGUACCUGAUCAGAAAGCCACGGCUAACUACGUG
rnacentral:rRNA from 1 species